rnacentral:rRNA from 1 species
UACAGAGGGGGCAAGCGUUGUUCGGAAUUACUGGGCGUAAAGGGCGCGUAGGCGGCCCGCUAAGUCGAACGUGAAAUCCCCGAGCUCAACUCGGGAACUGCGUCCGAUACUGGCGGGCUUGAAUCCGGGAGAGGGAUGCGGAAUUCCAGGUGUAGCGGUGAAAUGCGUAGAUAUCUGGAGGAACACCGGUGGCGAAGGCGGCAUCCUGGACCGGUAUUGACACUGAGGCGCGAAAGCCAGGGGAGCAAACAGG